UCCGAAAGGAUGGCUAAUACCGGGUAAGACCACGGAGACUUCGGUCUCUGAGGUAAAAAGGUGGCCUCUGUAUACAAGCUAUCACUUCCAGAUGAGCCCGCGGCCCAUCAGCUAGUUGGCGAGGUAACGGCUCACCAAGGCAACGACGGGUAGCUGGUCUGAGAGGACGAUCAGCCACACUGGAACUGAGACACGGUCCAG
rnacentral:rRNA from 1 species